rnacentral:rRNA from 1 species
CGGUGUUCAACUGGCGUGUCCGCGGGACGUCCUGCCGGUGGGCUUAGCCCGCAAGGGCGGCCCAACUUCAAAUCCCAUCGCGGUGCUCUUCACUGAGUGUCGAGGUGGGCCGGCACGUUUACUUUGAACAAAUUAGAGUGCUUAAAGCAGGCUAAAACUUCGCCUGAAUACUGUGUGCAUGGAAUAAUGGAAUAGGACCUCGGUUCUAUUUUGUGGGUUUUCGGAACCCCGAGGUAAUGAUUAAUAGGAACGGAUGGGGGCAUUCGUAUUGCGACGUUAGAGGUGAAAUUCUUGGAUCGUCGCAAGACGGACAGAAGCGAAAGCAUUUGCCAAAAACGCUUUCAUUGAUCAAGAACGAAAGUUAGAGGUUCGAAGGCGAUCAGAUACCGCCCUAGUUCUAACCAUAAACGAUGCCAGCUAGCGAUCCGUCGACGUUCCUCCGAUGACUCGACGGGCAGCUUCCGGGAAACCAAAGCUUUUGGGUUCCGGGGGAAGUAUGGUUGCAAAGCUGAAACUUAAAGGAAUUGACGGAAGGGCACCACCAGGAGUGGAGCCUGCGGCUUAAUUUGACUCAACACGGGAAACCUCACCAGGCCCGGACACCGGAAGGAUUGACAGAUUGAGAGCUCUUUCUUGAUUCGGUGGGUGGUGGUGCAUGGCCGUUCUUAGUUGGUGGAGCGAUUUGUCUGGUUAAUUCCGAUAACGAACGAGACUCUAGCCUGCUAACUAGGCGUAUUUUCGACAUCUCAAAGGUCCGUCGUCCCGGCCCUCGGGUCGUGGGCGUGCGCGAUUUUUACUGUCGGCGUACUAUCAAUUCUUCUUAGAGGGACAGGUGGCUUCUAGCCGCACGAGAUUGAGCAAUAACAGGUCUGUGAUG